rnacentral:rRNA from 1 species
AACGAACGCUGGCGGCAGGCCUAACACAUGCAAGUCGAGCGAGGACUUCGGUCCUAGCGGCGGACGGGUGAGUAACGCGUGGGAACGUGCCCUUUGCUUCGGAAUAGCCCUGGGAAACUGGGAGUAAUACCGGAUGAGCCCUUUGGGGGAAAGAUUUAUCGGCGAAGGAUCGGCCCGCGUUGGAUUAGGUAGUUGGUGGGGUAAUGGCCUACCAAGCCGACGAUCCAUAGCUGGUUAGAGAGGAUGAUCAGCCACACUGGGACGGAGACACGGCCCAGACUCCUACGGGAGGCAGCAGUGGGGAAUCGUAGACAAUGGGGGAAACCCUGAUCUAGCCAUGCCGCGUGAGCGAUGAAGGCCUUAGGGUUGUAAAGCUCUUUCAGCUGGGAAGAUAAUGACGGUACCAGCAGAAGAAGCCCCGGCUAACUCCGUG